rnacentral:tRNA from 2 species
GAGAACGUAGCUCAGUCGGUAGAGCAACUGACUUUUAAUCCGUAGGUCAUGGGUUCAAGUCCCAUCGUUCUCA